rnacentral:rRNA from 1 species
GAUGAACGCUGGCGGCGUGCUUAACACAUGCAAGUCGAGCGAAGCAAUUUUAAGGAAGUUUUCGGAUGGAAUUAAAAUUGACUUAGCGGCGGACGGGUGAGUAACGCGUGGUAACCUGCCUCAUACAGGGGGACAACGGUUAGAAAUGACUGCUAAUACCGCAUAAGCGCACAGUGCCACAUUGCACAGUGUGAAAAACUCCGGUGGUAUGAGAUGGACCCGCGUCGGAUUAGGUAGUUGUGGAGGUAAUGGCUCACCAAGCCGAUGAUCAGUAGCCGACCUGAGAGGGUGACCGGCCACAUUGGGACUGAGACACGGCCCAAACUCCUACGGGAGGCAGCAGUGGGGAAUAUUGGACAAUGGGGGAAACCCUGAUCCAGCGACGCCGCGUGAGUGAAGAAGUGUUUCGGCAUGUAAAGCUCUAUCAGCAGGGAAGAAAAUGACGGUACCUGACUAGGAAGCCCCGGCUAACUACGUGCCAGCCGCCGCAGUAA